CAGAAUAUGCGCUUUCCAUCUCGUCCAGUAACAAACGGAAUUGACGGUGAUUUAAACUUUUUGCCAUUAUUUUAUUGACAAUCUGAAUGACAACAUCCAUUACUUCUGUGCAUUCCGGAGGAAAUGUUUGAGCGCACAGUGCCUCUUGGUGCAAGAUGCAGUGAAAAGUCAGCAGCUUUCUGUCCAGCGACUUCUGCAGUAAAGCCACAAAUCCCUUGUGCGUUCCCGUCAUAUUCGGAGCCCCAUCAGUAGCUACUGACACCAGAUGGGUGGUCUUUAUUCCUUUGGCUCUUAAACAAUUCAAGACAGCCUCACAGAUGUCCUCCCCCCGUGUUUGGUCUUUUAGAGGUAUCAACUCAAUCAGUUCUUCCUGUGGCCCGGCAGAGUUUACAUACCGGCAGAACAACGCUAUUUGUUCAAUAUCGCCUUUGUCUUUAGACUCGUCACAGGCAAUCGAGUAGACCACAGCUGAAUUGAUGUCUUUAAUUUGCUGUCUUGUGAUGUCUUCUGCCAUUUUUAUGGUUCUGUCUUUGACAGUCUUUGCAGAGAGGGGCAUAUCCCUGAUUUUCUGCACAAUUUCACUCUUGUUUUUAAAGUCCGUGAAUAGAUGUUCUGAAAUCUUAAUGAAAGAUUCUUUUAUAUAUUCACCAUCUGUAAACUGCUUCCCGUGCCUGACUAUUUCCUGAGCGGCAAUAUAACUGGCGUAUGUCGUUGAUUUUCCUGACUUCAUCCAUUUCUGGAAAUGAUUUUUGCUCAGAUCAACCUUCCGCAUCAGUUCCGAAACGGCUUUUUUUCUCUCAUCUCCAUCCGGAUAUUUUUGAGCAAAGGCUGCGUGUUUACUCUGGAAAUGCCUUGCGACAUUUGACUUUUUGUUGUUUGCUAGUUUCUCAUUGCAUAUUAAGCAUACCGGUAAACCAGUCUCGUCAACAGUGAAAGCAAAUGAAUCUGUCCACGUAUCAUUAAACGUUCUGUUUUCUUCCGUCACUUUUCUUUUUUUAGAAUUCUCCAUAGUUGGCUUACCUUGGAUCGAAAAAUUAAAGAAAUCGCGCACUGGCGGGUGUCAGGUAUUGGCAGUGGUGACGUAUAUUAAUAGCGAUAAAAACACGUUGCAGCGGUGUGUUCAGGCAGUCAGUAAACUGCAGUCGAAUAACUUUAUUCGAACUAAACAGCCUUGCUUCUAAGCCUCCCUCAACCCAGCCCCCAUGGACGCAGAUGCUGCAAAAGACACGUACUCACAAACCCCCGUAGGCAAUCUCCCUUAGCCGGAAUGCUGGCUAAUUGAGAGCCGUUUCGGAUGUGUCAGAAAAUGUGUCGCCACACUUACAUUGUACAAGAUCACCAUAAUCUUCAAAUUUAGAAUUACAUUUCAAAAGCUAACAAACUAACAUAAAAUACAUUUUAAUUAAAUACUGACCAAUUAUUUCCCAAAGCCACAGGGAGCCGCAGCACAGAGGUGAAAGAGCCACAAAUGGCUCGGGAGCCGCAGGUUGCCGACCCCCGGUCUAGACCCAUGACUCUCCUGUCCCUCCACAUGGACCUGGCCUCAACCCUGGACAAUAUAUUGUUAGAAAGAAAAUACAGAAUGCCCUUUAUUGGUCCAUCCACAACAAAAAAGUUUGGUCAUAGGCAUUGAAAUUGUCAUUUAGCACAUUAAUUAUGGUGCAUUGAAACUCUUAAGCCAAUAUUUUCUAAUUAUCUUCAGAGGCUCUCAUUAAAUUUUCUUAGCUUUCUUUCUGUUGUAACUGUUGUCUAUCUUUUGUGCUUCAUACAAAUUAGCAUUCCAGAUCUGAGAGUUUAGACAAUCACGAUGAAUUAUGCUUUUCGAUGGCAGAGUUAUCACACAUUCUUUCUUUACAUCCAUCAACUUUGCAGGAGUUCCAAAGAUGAGCUCUGGUAAAUUGUGCCACCCUCGUGAAGGAGAAGCAUAGGAAUACAUUACUCACUUUGUCGACAGAUACAAUAUGGGUCAUCAACUCUCCCAGACAAACAACUACAUUAUAGCACCAUAAAAGUAACAGUGCAAAACUGCUAGUGGAAUAUUAGAUCAGUAUAAGGAAAUAUCUGAGUGACCUUUCUUCAGUAAUUAAACACUUCUGGUUCUCUAUCAUGCUUAAUAUUUGACAGAGUAUUCCCUUCACACUUCGCAGAAUUUGAUUUUGCGUUUUGUCUUCCAUGAGGAAGCUCUUGUUAUUACUUUGUAAGUUAUUUUCGUUCUUUGCAAACUCUAAAACAUACUUCAAAAUAGUUGUAGCAUUUAGAACAUUUCCUAACCAAAUAAACAGGCUUUAAGUUUUAGUUACAUGAAACACAAUUCACUACCCAACACCUUGGCUCAAUAGUAAGGCUGUUAGUAGUUAGCAGGACGGUUAAUAGAAAAACCAUAACUUCGCGGCAGCAGGAAAUAUUAAGUCUGUACUCUCGAGUUCAGAAGAAUGGGAGGAGAUCUCAGUGAAGCUUGCAAAAUUCUUACCAUACUUGAAAGACAGAAUGCAGGGAACAGGCUUCCCAUGGUUGAGUCCAGAAUCAGGGGUCACAGUCUCAGAAUAAGGGUAGACUGUUUAGGAAUGAGAACAGCAGAAACUUCUUCACGUAAAGGAUAGAGAAUCAUUGAAAAUCUCUGCCUGGGAGGACUGAAAAAGUCCAAUUGUUCUGGAAAAACUCCAGCUAACUAAAGAGAAACAACCAAGGUUUUCAGCAGUUUGCCUGAAUGUUUUACAAAACAGUUACUGAGAAAACAAUCUGACAGACUGUAUAACCACAAAGCAAGACUAAACCAAAAGAUGGACAAAAGAGCUGUGCUGGUGCUCAGAAGGCCGUGGUGAAUUUCAUCAUUGUCCAUAUUCAUUGAUGGAUGGCACACUAGAUAUUGAAGGUAGUCUGUGUCUUGUCAUUGACCUAUCUCUAUAAUCGAAGGGUGGCGCUGCUCAAUGAUCACUAUUUGUUAUAAUGAUCAUUAUUUUGCAGUUUAAGGCCCAUCCUCUCAGUGGAUUAGUAGAAGAUGACACGGAGUCUGGCAUAUGUGCAUACUUGCAUGCCACAAAGUGGAAAGUGGAUGGAUUAUUGGAGGAGAGGGGGGCAGGGUGGGAUGAGGAGAAACCCAUGGGCAAAGAGUAUGUGUGCUUGAACCCCCUCAUGGGCUCACUGUUUCAGAGCAUGUACAAAGACACUAUCUAUAUGAGUUCUGAAAUAAAUUUGUUACUCAAACAAGAUCUAAAAACAAGACAUUUAAAUGUGUGCAAUUAAAGAUGGAUGCUAUGAUUUUUAAAACAGGAAAAAGAUUGAUUUUAUUUAAAUAUUUAUAUGCUUCAUGUAUUAUGCCUUUAAAUGAAUGUUCUUAUUCAGGUGUUCAACUCUCUCAAGGGACAAAGCCUAUUAUAGCCAUCCUAACUGUGUAUUCUUAAACUACAGGGAGGGGAUUUCCUUUCCUAUUGUUUCCAAGAGUACUAAUAGGCACAAGGCCACCAAAGAAUUAUUUCUGGCCAAGGAACACUGUCAAUUGUGAGACCUUGUGUUUUUCUUUCAGUUUCUUCUACAACUGUUGGAAUUCAUCAAAAACAUUUUACUGUCAGGGAAUCUUCUCCUGUUUUUUUUCCA